GAUGAACGCUGGCGGCGUGCCUAAUACAUGCAAGUCGAGCGAACGGACGAGAAGCUUGCUUCUCUGAUGUUAGCGGCGGACGGGUGAGUAACACGUGGAUAACCUACCUAUAAGACUGGGAUAACUUCGGAAAACCGGAGCUAAUACCGGAUAAUAUUUUGAACCGCAUGGUUCAAAAGUGAAAGACGGUCUUGCUGUCACUUAUAGAUGGAUCCGCGCUGCAUUAGCUAGUUGGUAAGGUAACGGCUUACCAAGGCAACGAUGCAUAGCCGACCUGAGAGGGUGAUCGGCCACACUGGAACUGAGACACGGUCCAGACUCCUACGGGAGGCAGCAGUAGGGAAUCUUCCGCAAUGGGCGAAAGCCUGACGGAGCAACGCCGCGUGAGUGAUGAAGGUCUUCGGAUCGUAAAACUCUGUUAUUAGAGAAGAACAUAUGUGUAAGUAACUGUGCACAUCUUGACGGUACCUAAUCAGAAAGCCACGGCUAACUACGUG
rnacentral:rRNA from 1 species